UAAUACAAAUUUCACCUUUUUACCUCCAAAUUUUUCCUAAAAUUUACAUUAAAAUUUCUAUUUCCCUCUCACUCUUGUCAGUUUCCCUCUCACCCUCAAAAAUUUCCAAGUUCGUCUUCAAUGGUUCUUCAAAAGUCAUCAUCUAUAGGUGUUUCGCUUGUGUUUCUGUAGUUUUCUCCACCAACCUUGUUCCUACUCUUGAGGUGGUGCAUUGCAGUUUGUUCCACGAAUCCACUGUCAAUCUGAGAUACUUUCUUAUAUUUAGUGAUAUGCAAAGAGGUAAAUCAAGAUUUGAACUGGGUCAGAAGAGCAUUUACCACCUGAUACCCCUUAUAGAAUCUGAAGGUUCUGAACCAGAUAUAGCUGCUUUUCUUCCUGCAGCUAGGCUUUCAACUUCAUCGAUUAAAACAAAUACCAGAUUGUUCUCCUCCUCCACCAUUUCCUGAAUUUUCUGAAAAAGUUUUGCAACCAAUUUGCCACUUUCAAAAAACCAUUUGCUGAACAAUGAGUGUGCAUUCACUUCAACCAGCUGACAAUGUGGAUAUCUGGAGCUAAAACAUAUUGACAGUUUCUGUGCUAAUGCUUUGCAUAGUGAUGUCUUGCCAGUUCCUGGAGGACCAUGUAGAAGAACGAUACUGCGAAAUUUACAAGAACGUAGAUUGUAUAAAAGAUACAAAGUUAAUGUGUACAAAGUUCCAUGCUUUCUAUAGCUUUAAGGUUGUCUAUUAUGCAAGAAUCCCUAUCACUGAGUGUGAUUUUGCUGGUACAGGCACCUUCGCUUAGAUGGACAUACAUCUGGUGGAGACCAUGGGGCCUUAAUUGAUCAGUUUAACAAUCCAGGAUCACCAUUUUUCAUAUUCCUGCUCAGGAUAUCAACGUGAAGAUCGAGAGGACAUUAUGGUGAUGUCAAAAGAAGUUGAGUAUAGUCAGUUGGCUGGUGUAGCGACAAUAAGUAGUAAGUGCUGGAAACUAUGAAGUGGAAGUAUGACUAUUAAGAAAACGUUAACACGAUGGAAGAUUGUCAAAGAGAUUCAUGAACACAAUGAAGUUUUGAGUUUUUAUUCCUAAACUUGUUAGUUUAUUUGGGUUAUAUGUUUGAUCAUUAGACUUAGAUCGACACUUAUUAGACAUCUGGAACCUUUGUAAAGAUUGAUUGAACUUUUAACUGAAGUGAUUAUUUUAUGAUU